CAUAAAUUCUGAACACUUAUGUCUCAGCCCAUUUCCCGUAUAUAUGUGAACCCAUCUGUUGGCUCCUGCGAUGCUUCCUCAACAUUCCAGAGCAACAAAACCCAAAACCCACAAGCACAUUUCAGGUGGAAUCACAACAAAUAAAAGAAAUUCACUGUUGGCAUGAGAUCACACACGUUUCAUUUCAGGUACGUCUGAAACUAUAGCUCUGAAGAUAACUCUGCACAUGGUUUUCUUCUCUGCCAUAGUGACAAAGAGGGGUACACCAUGGACUAACGCUGACACUCACACAACCUUUAAAAAUAGUUUUAAAACCUGUUUUGACAAGCACUUUAAGACAGAUGCUUCAGGAUCACCCAUUACAGGCUGCCCAUCUCACUCUCCCCCUCUAUCAAGGCACAUAAAAUGUGUUAAUGAAGUAUUAUUUUUACAUAUAUGUAAAGCACGCAGCAUAGCGGGUUACAUGAGAGGCAGAGGUGAUUGUGUUCUGCCAGUGAAGAAGGUGGAAUACUUUGAGAUGUUCUUAUGAGUAGAUGAUCUCAUAAGAUGAUCUCUGGCUACUCUCACAAAUAAGAUCUGGUUCAUGUGGUCUUACAGUUAACUCGGUCUUCAUAAGACCUCCAGCAGCGAUAAGGGACAGACUUUUCAUAAGAUUCUUGAUAUAGAAGAGGUGCCCCUUGUCUCUGCCUUGCUCCUUUUUCGCCCUUUCCUUUGAAAAACAAAGCAGUGACACAACCUGAUAGAUAUCCUAUAGUAUCAAAGUAUAUCAGAGACCUUUGACUGUGUUAUUUCCAGUCAUAAGCUAGGAAACUUUUCCAUUGCAAUGAACUGCCAUUUCCAAUUUCCUGACCUCCAUAACAUUAGAUCCAAACAGUCUGAUCUUUACCAGAUACCUUGGAAAUACAGAAAUAUCCUUCUGUUUGCUCCCACCAAGUUGCAAGAUACAAUUUCCUAUACGUAUUAAAAUAGCAGGACUGACUCAUUUUCAUCAAUUGCAACUGCACCUGUCCUGCUAACUGCUUACACAUCCCAUGCAGAAAACUCAUCACGUACAACAGUGAUCUCCCUACACCACCAGUGUGAUGGAGAAUGGAUUGUCAGCCCCUUGGGACCUUCUAGAUAUCCUUGACUCAUUCUCAAAACCCUAGACCAGGAUGCUUCAGGUGGUGCCUUUAAAGGAGUUCAGUUGAAAGACAUCAAGCAUUGCAUCAAGUUUUGACACACUUUUAACUGUUUCUUAAUGCACAGAAUAAUGUUGCUGAUGCAUAAUCCCUGGGGAGAGGAAAAAAAAAAUAAUAAAAAAA
rnacentral:lncRNA from 1 species